GUGACGUGGACAAUCUAUAUAUAUUAGAUCGAGUGGCAUAUGAUUAGUAUAGUGGAAACACUUAUGGCAUGUUGAACACUUAGAAAACAAGUGUGGCACAAGUCCAAGAAUAUAGUAGUGUAUAUGACACAAGUGAUAGUAAAGAAUGCAAAGAAAAGAAUGACUGAAAUAUUAUGACAUUUCAACCCUAGGGUUAGGGUCAUUUGAGCAUAGUCUUCCUAAAGUUAAGGAAUGGAUUGAACUUGACAUUCUCAAGAUUUUGGAUUUGAUCAUUGAUCAUACUCACCUUUAGUCCUUGCUCGAGGUUGUGGUAGCUCCCCCUCAGAGGACGGUCCCAUCGGGUGUAGCGAGUAUCUCCCCGAUUAUUGGGAUUUUGAGUUGGUGAGUUUGUUGAGGGCGAAACCUUCAGGUUAGCCAAGAGAUGGGUAACAAGCACAUGAGCUGUAAUAAUAUCCUAAUUGAGUGGACUUAAGGCUGAGGUGCAAGUGAGACGUCCUUCGCCUCGAGCCUGCCUUUGCACGGUACUCCGCGAAUGAUUAACUCGAGACCGAGUCGGGUGGAUAGUUGGUAAAGGUAAAUAAGACCCUAUGAUCAUAAUGGUAAUUGAUAUGAGUUUAAAAUAGAGAAAUAACUUCGAGGUCAAUUGAACGAGCUAUGAAUAGCAAGAUUAAAGUAGUAUUGAUUGAACUACUAUUGGUUGCAUAAAUCGCAUGAUUUUCAUAUUGCAUGGUUGUGAGGCAUGACAUGUAUUUCAAUUAUCGCAUAUAUAUAUAUCUGUUGGAUAUUUGUUGGACUAACAUGUUGCAGUGCGUCCCUUGGACCUAUUGGUCGAGCUUUUCCCUUGGGUGGCCGUACCCACUGGGAACCAUGGAGUUGGUUUUCACCCCACGUUGUUUUGGGGUGUUACAGGUUCACACGUGAGCGGCGCGGAGGCGCAAGGCGAGGGCGUAGCUCUAUAGUUAGCGCCCUACCACCGAGACUAGAGAUAGCGGUACCCUGAGUCGGCCUUUACUUAGGGAUGUAAGAAAAUGAAAAGAAUCAAGUUGUAAUAAUUUGUAAUAAAAGCUCGAUUGUAUUUGGAAGUUAAAUGUAACAAGUAAUUGUGAUGUAAAAUGUAUUUAGUGAAUGUGAAUGCUUGUAAUAACAAGUAGAUUAUGUUUUUGAUACUUCCUUAUGCAAUCUUUGAUUGAAAUGUGUUCCCGGUU
rnacentral:lncRNA from 1 species